rnacentral:snRNA from 1 species
GGCUGAUUUUAUAGCCAUAAACU